rnacentral:misc_RNA from 1 species
UAGCAUUGUUAUCUGGUGUUUCCUGUCACAAGAAUGUACCAAGAAUGAGAACUAAAAAUGAGUGCCAGCAAGCAACUAAUUCCUUCCAUGAUCUAAACAUCUGUACUCAUGCUUCAAUAUGGUGUCCACCAUUUACAACACUGGAGAAAAUUAAGAAUCAUCAAUAACAAUUCACUUUUCUAAUAAAAUAAUUGCAAUUUGCAAGUAUAUGACAACUAUGCUGCUGUAGUGAGCUAGGCGGAAUAGAGAUGAAUGCAGAUUGUUUCUGAAGGUUCACCAGAGUUUUCAGCUUCAUGCGCCGAAGCAAACACCUCUGGAUGGUGAGGAAAGCUUGGAUCCCAGAUAGACAAUUGGCAGGCUUAAGCUGCCAUUGACCUUGGGAACGGAACAAUUACAAACUUGAAGAGAGAACAUUUUAGACUUGAUUGCUGGUUUAGGAGAUUGAAGAGCACAUUUACUUUCCUGUAAUCCAGUAUACCAAGAAAUUAUGGUAGUAAUCAGUUCUAGACUUCCCAAUGGAUCAUAAGAAGCACAGGUUAAGGCUCAUUAUUCUACCCUUUACAACAAAUUUAUUAUUUAAAAAAGAAAAAAGGGGAUCUACAAAUCAUUUAAAAUUAGUAUCUACACACGCUGGCAGCACUUCAAAAAAUAAAUAACAAGAACCAAAUGAUAUAAUAUAAAGACUAGAGGUGAAAUUUUCCAUGCUGAGCAAGAACAGAAUAAGCUGAGGGACAGAACAACAUGUUUUCAUUGGAGUUGCCAUAAGUUAGCACCGCCAAAGAAUGGGUAUCAACCAUCAACUAUCAUGGGCCAAAGCCUAUUGCUUGAAAAAGAGGAAGUUCAGAGGCAUGAAUGCUAAGAGAACUGAGAUCCUUGAAACCUUCCUUACUAUCCAGUCCCCCCACCACAACUGCCCAAUCAAAAAGCAACUUCAUUUAGGUAGGCUUCUUCUUCAGUAAAUUAAAAUCAUUAGAAAACAAGAAACUACAUGAAUAAUCAGCAAAGAAAAGACUGAACACAAACUCAAUGAGAUGUAAGUGGUGAAAGAAGAACAGGCAACCCAGCACGCCUAAACACAAAACCACCACUCUGCUAGGAAUGGUAUCUAGGCCUAAUGAAACAACCCUCCCUUGCCACCAGAACACCAUAAUUUUUGUCUGCAAUUAAACCAAUGUUCAAGGCCAGUUGGGUAAAGCAAGCUCCCCACAAUGCCAUCCAUACUAUCAAGUACAACAAAAGAUGCUAAAUUUCAGGUUAUCAAUGUUACCAAAACUUUUGCUUUUAAAAUCCCAUUAUUUAUUAGAAUACGCUGACAGAAUGAAAAUGUGAAACCAAGUAGAAGGCUAGGAGCAAAGAAGAGGAGAGGCCAACGAAAAAUGACAUGGGUAGAAGUACAAAAUCAUGUAGCAUUAUAAUUCACCAACAGGUCAUAGAAAGUUCUUCCCUAAACAGAAAUGAAAGAAAGAAGAUCCAGACAGCUAAUUUGGGACUGAGACUUGAUUGAAUUGAGAUAACAAGAAGAAAUGACACUCAAAAUUCUUAAUAGGAUAGUACCUUUCGUUUAAUAGGUAUAGAUG